UACAGAGGUCUCAAGCGUUGUUCGGAUUCAUUGGGCGUAAAGGGUGCGUAGGUGGCGCGCUAAGUCAGGUGUGAAAUUUCGGAGCUUAACUCCGAAACUGCAUUUGAUACUGGCGUGCUUGAGGACUGGAGAGGAGACUGGAAUUCACGGUGUAGCAGUGAAAUGCGUAGAGAUCGUGAGGAAGACCAGUGGCGAAGGCGGCAUCCUGGACCAACACUGACGCUGAGGAGCGAAAGCCAGGGGAGCAAACGGG
rnacentral:rRNA from 1 species